rnacentral:rRNA from 1 species
AGCAGCCGCGGUAAUACGAAGGGACCUAGCGUAGUUCGGAAUUACUGGGCUUAAAGAGUUCGUAGGUGGUUGAAAAAGUUAGUGGUGAAAUCCCAGAGCUUAACUCUGGAACUGCCAUUAAAACUUUUCAGCUAGAGUAUGAUAGAGGAAAGCAGAAUUUCUAGUGUAGAGGUGAAAUUCGUAGAUAUUAGAAAGAAUACCAAUUGCGAAGGCAGCUUUCUGGAUCAUUACUGACACUGAGGAACGAAAGCAUGGGUAGCGAAGAGGAUUAGAUACCCUCGUAGUCCAUGCCGUAAACGAUGUGUGUUAGACGUUGGGAAAUUUAUUUUCAGUGUCGCAGCGAAAGCGAUAAACACACCGCCUGGGGAGUACGACCGCAAGGUUAAAACUCAAAUGAAUUGACGGGGACCCGCACAAGUAGUGGAGCAUGUGGUUUAAUUCGAAGAUACGCGCAGAACCUUACCAACACUUGACAUGUUCGUCGCGACUCUAAGAGAUUAGAGUUUUCGGUUCGGCCGGACGAAACACAGGUGCUGCAUGGCUGUCGUCAGCUCGUGUCGUGAGAUGUUGGGUUAAGUCCCGCAACGAGCGCAACCCUCACUUUUAGUUGCCAUCAUUAAGUUGGGCACUCUGAAAGAACUGCCAGUGAUAAGCUGGAGGAAGGUGGGGAUGACGUCAAGUCCUCAUGGCCCUUACGUGUUGGGCUACACACGUGCUACAAUGGUAUCUACAACAGGAAGCAAGACUGCGAGGUCAAGCAAAUCCUUAAAAGAUACCUCAGUUCGGAUUGCACUCUGCAACUCGAGUGCAUGAAGCUGGAAUUACUAGUAAUCGUGGAUCAGCGUGCCACGGUGAAUGCGUUCCCGGGUCUUGUACACACCGCCCGUCACACCAUGGGAGUUGGUUCUACCUUAAGGCAAGGUUUCAAACCCUUGACCACGGUAUAGUCAGCGACUGGGGUGAAGUCGUAACAAGGUAACCG